rnacentral:lncRNA from 1 species
UUCAUUAUUAAUUAUACCAAUCCUUUCAUAUAUGUAGAAAAAAUGUUUGAGUUGGUCAUCUGUCUUUUAUUGAAGAUGCAUUUCAAAUAUCAAAUAUAUUUGAAAGAUAAAAUAGCAUCUGUGAAAUUGAAUAUUAUUUUAUGUGCGCUUGGCUAUGCCCUAAAAUGUCAGUUUAUUAUCCCUAAAGACGUAUUUAUUGAUGUUUACCAAGAAUAGAAGUUGGCUGGGCACAA